GGAUAACACACAUCCAGUAGAAAGGAUCAUCUCCAGUAGUUGAAUGAAUGUCAUAGAGUGGUAACUGGCUGCACACCAGGAAAAUGAAGAGGGAAAUAACUCAUGUUGAAAGUGUAUGGCUUUUGGAAGUGCUCCUUUUGAUAUAACUCCAUUAGCUAUUAUUGUUUUCACAUCAAGCAAAUAAAAGUCCAUCAGGUCUGGUUGUAAUAGUGACUCAAACUAGUCAGAAAUCAACUCCUUAGUCCUAGCCCUAACAGGAGAAGUUUUAACAUCACCUCCUAAAGAGAAGGAUCAAAAGGAAAGCUACACUGCCGUUAUCACCCGACAACCCUUCUAUGGGAACAAGAAGUAAAAAAAAGAAGAAGAUAUAUCCCCAUCCAUGAACACUAGAAGCAAAAGGAAGUUAAUUUAGACCAUCUGAUGGCAUGCCAAGUUUCAUUUUUGACUUAGUUCUUUGAUGUGUUCGUGAGACUAUGUCACAAUACUAUGUAAUGGCAACAACAAUGUCUCAAGUUUUAGUGCAUGCCUGA